rnacentral:rRNA from 1 species
AUGGAGCCGAACGCAGCUGUUGAGGCCGACGCCGAGGACGACUACAUGGGGGACCUGUCCCACUUCCUCCCGCCGAGCCCCUCCUCUCCCACCAGGAGCCUCGGGGUCCGGAAGCAACCCCCCAAGCCGGCUCCGCCGGCGCGAGGGCAGGCGAAGCGCGCCAAGGGGCUGCCGUGGAAGGAGCACCGGCGGCAGGAGCGCGAUAGGAGCCAGAGAGAGGAGGAUGCCCGCACGUUGGCCGGGAUGGCAGAGGCCAUCCCGGAGAGCAACGUUGGGUUCAAGAUGUUGAAGCAGAUGGGAUACGACCCGGCAGCCCGCGGCGCCGGCGCCGAGCCGGUCGGAAUCGAGAUCCGCCGCUCUCGGGCCGGACUCGGGGCGGAGCCAGAUGCUUCUGUGGCGCCGCUGCCGCAGCCAUCGGAACCCAAGACGCGGGAGGAGGAAGAAAGGGAGAGAAAGCGGCAGGAGGAGAUGGUGGUGGAGCUGAGGUCGAGGAAGAGCACGCAAUGGAAGGGACGGAGGUUGGUGUGGGACUUCCGCAAGGCUGAGGCGGCGCUCGCGCAGCUGGAGAACAGGGAGGUGGAGCCACCGGCCCCCGAUGGGGAGGAGAAGGAGAAGGGAGAAGAUGAAGAGGAAGAGGUGAUCACUGAAGAGGGUUUACAAACCAUACUGGAUAAGCUGCGUGUUCAACACCACUAUUGCCUUUACUGUGGAUGCAAGUUUGAAUCAGCAGGAGCAUUGGCAAAUGAAUGCCCUGGGCCUAAUGAAGAUGAUCACUGA